rnacentral:rRNA from 1 species
UGAGUACGAGACGCUAAGGCGUUGAAGCAGUCUAUGUCAGACUUCCAAGAAAAGCUCGCAAUGUCAUAAACAAAUAAUGCCUGUACCAUAACCGACACAGGUGGGUAGGUAGAGUAUACUAAGGGGCGCGAGAUAACUCUCUCUAAGGGACUCGGCAAAAUGACUCCGUAACUUCGGGAGAAGGAGUGCCUUAUUUUUAUAAGGUUGCAAUAACAAGAUCCAAGCAACUGUUUACCAAAAACACAGGUCUCCGCUAAGUCGUAAGACGAUGUAUGGGGGCUGACGCCUGCCCAGUGCCAGAAGGUUAAAGAAGUUGGUUAGUUUCGGCGAAGCUGAUGACUGAAGCCCUGGUGAACGGCGGCCGUAACGAUAACGGUCCUAAGGUAGCGAAAUUCCUUGUCGGGUAAGUUCCGACCCGCACGAAAGGCGUAAUGAUUUGGAUACUGUCUCGGAGAGGGGCUCGGUGAAAUAGACUUGUCUGUGAAGAUGCGGACUACCUGCACCUGGACAGAAAGACCCUAUGAAGCUUUACUGUAACUUGAGAUUGAAAUUGGACUUUAUUUGCGCAGUAUAGGUGGGAGACGUUGAGAAUAUUCUUGCGGGAAUAUUGGAGUCAUCAGUGAGAUACCACUCUUGUAAUGUUAGAUUUCUAACUUUGUAUCAUUAUCUGGUCAAAGGACAGUUUCAGGCGGGCAGUUUGACUGGGGCGGUCGCCUCCCAAACGGUAACGGAGGCGCACAAAGGUUUCCUCUGAACGUGUAGAAAUCGUAUCUAGAGUGUAAAGGCAUAAGGAAGCUUGACUGUGAGACCUACAAGUCGAGCAGGGACGAAAGUCGGUCUUAGUGAUCUGACGGUGCUGAGUGGAAAGGCCGUCACUCAACGGAUAAAAGUUACUCUAAGGAUAACAGGCUGAUCUCCCCCAAGAGUUCACAUCGACGGGGAGGUUUGGCACCUCGAUGUCGGCUCAUCGCAUCCUGGGGCGGUAGUACGUCCCAAGGGUUGGGCUGUUCGCCCAUGAAAGCGGUACGCGAGCUGGGUUCAGAACGUCGUGAGACAGUUCGGUCCAUAUCCGGUGUAGGCGUUAGAAUAUUGAGAGGAGCCUUCUUUAGUACGAGAGGACCGAGAAGGACAUACCUCUGGUGUACCAGUUAUCGUGCCAACGGUAAACGCUGGGUAGCUAUGUAUGGAGUGGAUAACCGCUGAAAGCAUCUAAGUGGGAAGCCCACCUCAAGAUAAGUAUUCUCGU